UAACACGUAGGGAACCUGCCUGCAUGAGCGGGAGAACUUCUGGAAACGGAAGCUGAUACCGGAUGAGCAAAGAGGAGGCAUCUUCUUUUUGGAAAAGGGGACAAGAGUCCCGCAUGCAGAUGGACCUGCGGUGCAUUAGCUGGUUGGAGAGGUAACGGCUCACCAAGGCGACGAUGCAUAGCCGGCCUGAGAGGGCGGACGGCCACACUGGGACUGAGACACGGCCCAGACUCCUGCGGGAGGCAGCAGUAGGGAAUUUUCGUCAAUGGGGGGAACCCUGAACGAGCAAUGCCGCGUGAGCGAGGAAGGUCUUCGGAUCGUAAAGCUCUGUUGCCGGGGACAAAAGGCAGAAAGAGUGGAAAGCUUUCUGAGUGAUGGUACCCGGCGAGGAAGUCACGGCUAACUACGUGCCAGCAGCCGCGGUAAUACGUAGGUGGCGAGCGUUAUCCGGAAUGAUUGGGCGUAAAGGGUGCGCAGGCGGCCGGGCAAGUCCGCAGUAAAAACUGGAGGCUCAACCUUCAGGGGCUGCGGAAACUGUCCGGCUGGAGAGCAGGAGAGGACGGUGGAACUCCAUGUGUAGCGGUAAAAUGCGUAGAUAUAUGGAAGAACACCGGUGGCGAAGGCGGCCGUCUGGCCUGCAUCUGACGCUGAGGCACGAAAGCGUGGGGAGCAAUAGGAUUAGAUACCCUAGUAGU
rnacentral:rRNA from 1 species